rnacentral:rRNA from 1 species
GGUGCUUGCACCUGAUUGACGAUGGAUCACCAGUGAGUGGCGGACGGGUGAGUAACACGUAGGUAACCUGCCCCGGAGCGGGGGAUAACAUUUGGAAACAGAUGCUAAUACCGCAUAACAACAAAAGCCACAUGGCUUUUGUUUGAAAGAUGGCUUUGGCUAUCACUCUGGGAUGGACCUGCGGUGCAUUAGCUAGUUGGUAAGGUAACGGCUUACCAAGGCGAUGAUGCAUAGCCGAGUUGAGAGACUGAUCGGCCACAAUGGAACUGAGACACGGUCCAUACUCCUACGGGAGGCAGCAGUAGGGAAUCUUCCACAAUGGGCGCAAGCCUGAUGGAGCAACACCGCGUGAGUGAAGAAGGGUUUCGGCUCGUAAAGCUCUGUUGUUGGAGAAGAACGUGCGUGAGAGUAACUGUUCACGCAGUGACGGUAUCCAACCAGAAAGUCACGGCUAACUACGUGCCAGCAGCCGCGGUAAUACGUAGGUGGCAAGCGUUAUCCGGAUUUAUUGGGCGUAAAGCGAGCGCAGGCGGUUGCUUAGGUCUGAUGUGAAAGCCUUCGGCUUAACCGAAGAAGUGCAUCGGAAACCGGGCGACUU